rnacentral:rRNA from 1 species
GACGAACGCUGGCGUCGUGCUUAACACAUGCAAGCCGAACGAUGAAGCUGGAGCUUGCUCUAGCGGAUUAGUGGCGAACGGGUGAGUAACACGUGAGCAAUCUGCCCUUGACUCUGGGAUAACUGCGGGAAACUGUAGCUAAUACCGGAUACUUUCACCGGGGGGCAUCCUCUGGUGAUGAAAGAAUUUCGGUCAAGGAUGAGCUCGCGGCCUAUCAGCUUGUUGGUGAGGUAACGGCUCACCAAGGCGACGACGGGUAGCCGGCCUGAGAGGGUAACCGGACACACUGGGACUGAGACACGGCCCAGACUCCUACGGGAGGCAGCAGUGGGGAAUAUUGCACAAUGGGCGCAAGCCUGAUGCAGCAACGCCGCGUGAGGGAUGACGGCCUUCGGGUUGUAAACCUCUUUUAGUAGGGAAGAAGCGAAAGUGACGGUACCUGCAGAAAAAGCACCGGCUAACUACGUGCCAGCCGCCGCAGUAA